CCUCCAUCAUGGUAGACAUGGAACAGAAGAUCCUACUGACCCUGCUGCCAAAGGGUAGCCAAGGAAGAUGGCCAGAGAAAUUCCAGAUGACUGUCCAAGGGGCAUGUAAGACAUAAUGGAUCUUUGGGCAAUACCAGGUUUCUUGCCUGCCCCGGACAUAGGACAUCAGACCAUUGCAGUAACCUUGGAAACCUUUGGCGUAGUCAACCUUGGGAUAGUCAACGUGUAAGGAGCAACACAGAUGAACAGAACCUGGAUCUGCUCCUGCUUGGAGGGAAAGGCUC